UUUGUCGCGUUCAUCGAAGAACUCCGGUCAGCAGCGAAAGUUCCAUAUCAAGUUUUUAGGGUGUCUGGGUGGGUUUUUUUGGUGGAUCCGACACGGCGGUGGCGGUGGGAGCACAGAGGCGGCGGCGGGAGCACAAUGGUGGAGGCGGCGGUGGGAGCACAGUCUGAUUUUUGAGCUGAUCUAAUUUUUGAAAUCAAACAAUGGACUACAACAGAUCGUCGAAGGGGUUUUUGCGGCUUCUGAUCUAAUGUUCUCUUUUCUUAGAGUAGUUCUCUUUGCCCUUUUGAUGUUAUUUUCAGACCCUGGAGUGUAGACUAAAUUUUCAAUUCAGUAUCUUGUAACCAAGAUCACAUAAAUUUAUAUAACAGUUAUGGUGCUUGGAAUGUACAAAAAGAAGUUCGAUUCAGUUCAUGUUGUCACGAAUUUAGUGUAA